UGGCAAGGAAAAAAGCUUCAGGCACAUUUGAAACAUCACAUGAUGUGUUUCCCUCUUUACAUUUAUCUUUGACAUAUUGUUCGACUCUUGUAUGAAAGUUACGAAGAUACGAAGCUACAAAAAGGAUACUAAUAUAAUUUUGUAUAAUGAGCACAGCAUGCAAUAUCAGAGAAUAUAUAUUUGUAGUGAUUCAUAGCAAUACAAGUAGUAAAAUAUUACAGUCACUUGGUUGCACGAUAGUUUGUACCUUGUAUGUAAUAAAUAAAAAAUUUAUAUAAUAUA